AGUUGUAAUCUCCUGUAAUCAUAACUAAAUCAACUAAGCUUUGAUGUAUCUAGCACAAACUAAUAUUAUGCAAGACCACCUGCCAUAGUUAGAGAUCUAAGUGAUAAAUAGUGUGCCAGCUAUCGCGGUUAUACACUAACUUAAGGUUAAUUCCUAUCAGCUGUUUAGAUUAUCAAACAACAAUUAAAAUCCUAAUAGUGAAAAGUAUAUAUUCAACACUACUAUACAUCUAACCACCCAAAGUUAAAUCAAGAGACAAGGAUUAGAUACCCUUCUAUCCUAAACCUAAGCUAACCAGGAAGUAAUAUCAAAUAAAAACCUAAUUAGAAUGGCGGUAAGAAAUCCACCGGAGAAGGCUGUACCAUAAUCGACAACCCUCGUUAAUUACCCCCUAACUUAACAUUUUAUAUAUCGCCAUUGAAACUUUACUUAAGGUAGAAUUACUUAAGAUCUAAGCUUAGUCAACAGGUCAAGAUAUAAGUCAUGGUUAGGUGAGAUAUUGCCUGCAAAUAUCAACAAUUAAUUAAACUAAUCAUUAACUCAACAGUUUAAAUCAGGAUCCGAUUGUAACCAUGUCUACCUAUAACAUUAUGACCUGCCAAAUUUCUUACGCACAUAUUGCCCGUCAUCCUCAUAUGAGGCAAGUCGUAACAAAGUAGAUCUUCUGGAAGGAGGAC
rnacentral:ncRNA from 1 species